AUGGGGAAUUUUCCGCAAUGGGCGAAAGCCUGACGGAGCAACGCCGCGUGAGGGAUGAAGGCCUCUGGGCUGUAAACCUCUUUUCUCAAGGAAGAAGACAUGACGGUACUUGAGGAAUAAGCCACGGCUAAUUCCGUGCCAGCAGCCGCGGUAAUACGGGAGUGGCAAGCGUUAUCCGGAAUUACUGGGCGUAAAGCGUCCGCAGGCGGCCUUGUAAGUCUGUCGUUAAAGCGUGGAGCUUAACUCCAUUUGAGCGAUGGAAACUACAAGGCUUGAGUGUGGUAGGGGCAGAGGGAAUUCCCGGUGUAACGGUGAAAUGCGUAGAUAUCGGGAAGAACGCCAGUGGCGAAGGCGCUCUGCUGGGCCAUAACUGACGCUCAUGGACGAAAGCCAGGGGAGCGAAAGGGAUUAGAUACCCCUGUAGUCCUGGCCGUAAACGAUGAACACUAGGUGUCGGGGGGAUCGACCCCCUCGGUGUCGUAGCUAACGCGUUAAGUGUUCCGCCUGGGGAGUACGCACGCAAGUGUGAAACUCAAAGGAAUUGACGGGGGCCCGCACAAGCGGUGGAGUAUGUGGUUUAAUUCGAUGCAACGCGAAAAACCUUACCAGGGUUUUGACAUCCUGCGAAUCCCUUGGAAACGAGGGAGUGCCUUCGGGAGCGCAAAGACAGGUGGUGCAUGGCUGUCGUCAGCUCGUGUCGUGAGAUGUUGGGUUAAGUCCCGCAACGAGCGCAACCCACGUCUUUAGUUGCCAGCAUUCAGUUGGGCACUCUAGAGAGACCGCCGGUGAUAAACCGGAGGAAGGUGUGGAUGACGUCAAGUCAUCAUGCCCCUUACAUCCUGGGCUACACACGUACUACAAUGCUACGGACAAAGGGUUGCAAGCUCGCGAGAGUUAGCUAAUCCCAUAAACCGUGGCUCAGUUCAAAUCGUAGGCUGCAACUCGCCUACGUGAAGGAGGAAUCGCUAGUAAUCGCAGGUCAGCAUACUGCGGUGAAUACGUUCCCGGGCCUUGUACACACCGCCCGUCACACCAUGGAAGUUGGCCAUGCCCGAAGUCGUUACUCCAACCCUUGUGGAGGAGGACGCCGAAGGUGGGGCUGAUGACUGGGGUGAAGUCGUAACAAGGUAGCCGUACCGGAAGGUGCGGCUGGAUCACCUCCUAA
rnacentral:rRNA from 1 species